rnacentral:lncRNA from 1 species
GGACAUUUGGUCGGAGACCUCGAGACACGAUGAACACGUAUGAGGAGUCAGACGAGGAGGUGCUGUCGGACACGGACAUCCAGAGGAGCAUCGAGGAGUCCUGCCUCUCCAGUCUGCAGACCGGCGGCGCCCACCUCACACUACAGGCUGCUGGAGUGCAAGUCCCCCCUGGUGGUGGUCUGGAGACGGCACUGACCCGGGCCGUGGCGGCCGGUCUGGUGGAGAACGUCCGGGUUCUGCUGGACCGUGGAGCCUCACCACUCAACACAACAGCAGGAGUGAGAGCCUCUGCUGUUAGGUACCAGAGUCUAACCCUACCUGCUCCUUAAUGACCUGUCUCUGUACUGUCUUACCCCUACCUGCUCCUUAAUGACCUGUCUCUGUACUGUCUUACCCCUACCUGCUCCUUAAUGACCUGUCUCUGUACUGUCUAACCCCUACCUGCUCCUUAAUGACCUGUCUCUGUACUGUCUAACCCCUGCCUGCUCCUUAAUGACCUGUCUCUGUACUGUCUUACCCCUACCUGCUGCAGCGGUGCGGGGGGCUCCUAUAAGGUGACCCAGGUGCUGCUCUCCAGGGGGUCCUGGGUGGGGCAGCCGGGCCCCCGGGGUUGGACGGCGCUCCACGAGGCGGCGCGGCAGGGGGGCGCCGAGGUGCUGCUUCUGCUGCUGCGGUCCGGGGCGCCGGUCGCCCUGACGACCACCGGGGGGCGGACCGCCCUAGCCGUGGCCGCCGAGCCCACACGGCCAAGCCCACACGGCCAAGCCCACAUCGCCGAGAUCCUCCUCAACUGUGGUGAGACACCAGCGGAACUAGAUGAUCCCCCAGAACCACGAGAACCACUAGAACCAGACCCUGGUCCACUUAACCCCGCCCCACUUAACCCCACCCGACUUAACUCCGCUCCACUCAAACCUGCUUCACCACCUCAAGCGACCAGCGACCAAUGAACAGUGACCAAUGCUGAGUGACCAGGGACCAGUGACCAGCAACCAGCGAUCAGUGACCAGCGACCAGUGACCAGCAACCAGCGACCAGUGACAAAGGACCAUUGACCAGCGACCAGUGACCAGCAACCAGCGACCAGUGACCAAGGACCAGUGACCAGCAACCAGCGACCAGUGACCAAGGACCAGUGACCAGCAACCAGUGACCAGCAACCAGCGACCAGUGACCAAGGACCAGUGACCAGCAACCAGUGACCAGUGACCAGCAACCAGCGACAAGUGACCAAGGACCAGUGACCAGCAACCAGCGACCAGUGACCAGCAACCAGCGACCAGUGACCAGCAACCAGUGACCAGCAACCAGCGACCAGUGACCAAGGACCAGUGACCAGCAACCAGCGACCAGUGACCAAGGACCACCAACCAGCGACCAGUGACCAAGUACCAGUGACCAGCGACCAGUGACCAAGGACCAGUGGCCAGCGACCAGCGACCAGUGAGCAACAAACUGCUGCGUCUCUCUAGUGAUCGUUAUUACGUUAUUAUUAAGACUCCUCCUAUAUGGCGGCUGAACCCUGACCCCUGACAGGCAGCAGGGUGAACUCCCAGGCGC